rnacentral:piRNA from 1 species
UCGCAAAUGUGUUGGUCUACUAUGAUUC